GACGAACGCUGGCGGCGUGCUUAACACAUGCAAGUCGAACGGAAAGGCCCUGCUUUUGUGGGGUGCUCGAGUGGCGAACGGGUGAGUAACACGUGAGUAACCUGCCCUUGACUUUGGGAUAACUUCAGGAAACUGGGGCUAAUACCGGAUAGGAGCUCCUGCUGCAUGGUGGGGGUUGGAAAGUUUCGGCGGUUGGGGAUGGACUCGCGGCUUAUCAGCUCGUUGGUGGGGUAGUGGCUUACCAAGGCUUUGACGGGUAGCCGGCCUGAGAGGGUAGCCGGCCACAUUAGGACUGAGAUACGGCCCGGACUCCUAAGGGAGGCAACAGUGGGGAAUGUUGCACAAUGGGCGGAAGCCAGAUGCAGCAACGCCGCGUGCGGGAUGACGGCCUACGGGUUGUAAACCGCUUUCGCCUGUGACGAAGCGUGAGUGACGGUAAUGGGUAAAGAAGCACCGGCUAACUACGUG
rnacentral:rRNA from 1 species